CAGCCGGGACUGGAGCAGCGACAAUUUUGGCUAGUCUGAGAAGGGCAUUCGAGUGACCGUUGACAACGUAUGGGACAGCGUCAAGGCUGAGGGAAGAACCUUGACCUCAUGCUUCCAGGACUUCUAGCUAGCUCUGUGGUUCUGAUAGAAAAUGCCAUCAUUCCCUGCUGGAACAUCUGAGUCCUGUCAACUCUUCUGAAAAUACCCACAGAGAUGCAACAAGAUGUUCAUUAUCUCAAAGCUUCCUGUACUGUCUUCAUCUUAGUCACAACUAAAGGGCCAUACCUGUGGCACACAGAACUUCUUGGACUAGGAGUCAAAUUGGAGCUGCAGUUGCUGGCCUAUGUCACAGCCUUAGCCAUGGCAAUAUUAGAUCCAAGCCACAUCUGAGACCUACACUGCAUGCUGCAGCAACGCCAGAUCCUUAAACCAAUGAGCAAUGCCAGGGAUCGAAGCCGCAUUCUCAUGGAUGCUAUGUUGGGUUCUUAACCUGCUACGCUACAAUGGGAACUCCCAAAGCUUUGAUUUUUAACCUCUAAAAUUUUAGAGGUUGUUCUGGCUCAUUAUGACUGUUAUAGUAUUACUAAGUAAAGUUGAAUGUGCCUGUAUUUAUUAGUCAGCAAUUCAAGUAAUUGGAAUUUGGCCUGUUGACUCUGUGCAUGAACAAACCAUUUAGAAGAAUGCUUUACAAGAGUCUUUCAGCAGUAGCAAAAUACUGGAAAAAAAUGGACUAUCUAGCAGAGAAAAUUAAUGAAACAGAGCCAAAUAUAUCAAUAUAGAUAAAUCUCAGAAUAUAUUGUUCAGUGUAAGAAGUAAGUGAGGAUAGAUAACAGUAAGAUUCCAUUUAUGUUAAGUGGAAAGUGUGAAGAGUUCAUGAAAGUUGUAUAUUGUGUUAGAAUUCAUACAUAAAUUGUAAAAAUAUAGAGAAACCUAGGAAAUGAUUAAUAGAAAAUUCAGGAGAGUGGUUUUUCUCUGCAUAGUGGGAGAGAAAGAAAAAUGUAUGCAAGGAGAUGCAAUUGAGGGCUUUUGACUGGUAAUAUUUUAUUUCCUAACUUGCGUGAUGGAUAGAUGGGUGUUGAUGUUACUAUUAUACUUUAAUCUCUCCUUCUACAUUUUGUUUACUCUUUCCACAUGGUCUAUAUUUCACAGACAAAAAUAUUUUAAAGCCAUCAACAAUAAUUCUGAUAUGCAAUGGCCCAUAAAAUAGGUUGAAUCAUAUUUUGAUACGUAGCCUACAAAGCUCUUUAAGAAAAGUCUAAUUUUAUUUUCCAAGGACACAGAUGGAGAUGAAAUUGAUGAUAUCCCAAUUCUGCUUUGUUUUUUGUGAGAUGUUGAGCAAUUCACUUAUUAGCUAUUUCCACUUUUAUGUUUAUGGAAUAGCAGUGAUAUACUGGUUUAUUAAAAUAUUGAUGUUUAUAAAACAUAUACCUGAAAUAGUAUCAUAUCCUAUAUUAAAAUAUUAUAGUACCAUUUAAAAUAAUAUAUUAAAAAUACACCUAGGUUUCUGACCUAAUGGAAGUUCUUGAAUGAAUAAUGGGAAUAUUGGCAAUGCAGAUCAUCACUGGCUUGGUUAUAAGUGAUGAUAUGAAACAUUUCACUUAAUGGAAGUGAUUAAAAAUGAUAGCAAUUAAACAGAUUUUUGACAGCUGAAAGUUCAAACACAUACCAAACUAUGAAAACACUUUAAUAACAUUUUUUGUAAGAUGAAAAAAUCUGUCAGGGGCAUACAAAUACAUAGGAAGAGUGUUUUGAACAGAGUACAAAAAUGCAACCUUCUUAGGAUGUUAGCACUAAAUGUCAAAAUACCAUGCUGCUAGCUUUUGGUGUUAACUUUUGAAGAUGACAGGUACUAUCCAUACAAUGUUAGAUUUUCAAAUGGUCAUGAAAAAAUUUUGUCACUGCCAAAAGCACAGCUAAAUUAUCAGUUUUCCAAUUUUCUAAAGUACAUGAGGUCUAGUAUAGCACUUUCUUCAGACAGGUUAUUAAAGGGAAGAGAUUAAGUCAGACCUGAAUGAAGCAGGUGUUAGAGUUCGGAUUCCAAUGUCCGUGACCACAGAUGCAGUGUUUGAGGCAACAUGACAAUAUCUGGUAGGAUCUGAGUUAGAACACCAUCUCUGAUCUGAUGGGUGGAAGAACUCCAGUAGUAAUAUCUAGACAAUGGUCCCAUUUAACAUCAAAGAAAAUCAUCCAUGUUCAUAAAGAACCUCAGUGAAAGCCAGGCGUAUAGUUAAAGGGCCCUGUCUCUACAAAGAGAAGUUGCAGAUUAACUGGGCAGGCCGAAAGUGUUUUCUAACAAGGAAACCUACAUUGGAAUAUAGAUGUGAACCCAAAGAAGUCUGCUACUCAUGAAGAAAAGAUAUAAAAUGUGGCUGUUUUCUCUAGCUGUGUUAAUGUAGCUAGAUGUCUGGGGGGGUUACAUUAAGGGCAUUUACUUUCAUUCUUAACCCUUCUUGAAUAGGAAUAGAUAUUUGAAUGUAGGCCAAACUAAUGUAAUUUCCAACUUUUGUACCAUAUAGAGUUAAAACUUCAAGAUGAAGGACUUCUGUCCUAGCAAUUGGUCAGACCGAAAAGGAAGGGACUGGUUUUAAAAGCCAUUCUCUUCAUUCAGCUAUUUUUAGAGCUAAUUGAAAACUUUCUGAUUAUAUAAAUCUUUACUGUAAGAUAUCAUUCUCCUGGGAGUGUUUAUACCCUAUAUUUCAGAACCGUGUUGGGUAUUUUCUAUUUGCCCUUCUAUUUUUAUUUUAACUUGUUCAAAAUCAUCUCUGUGUCCCAGAAGGCUGACAUCUAGGAACUGGUUCAAUGGACAACCUUGCUCUCCGGCUUUUGACUGGAAAAAUUGGAAGCUCCUACAACAGUUUAGAAGGCAGGAGGAGAAUGACAUUUGGUAUUCAUUUCCAGUACUAGCUAGUCUAUAACAGUUCCUCUCUUCUUUAUACAUACAUGCCACUUCACAUUAAGAGAUGGAACUUACUUCCGCUGUCCUUGAAUCUGGACUGGCCUAUGACUAACUUUUAUAAAUAGAAUGCAGCAUAAGGACCUUCUUGGACUUCAAAGCCCAGGCUAAGAGAAAUGGAAGCUUCUACUGGCUGCCUCUUGGAAUCAUCUUCUGUGCUGUGAGAAGCUCAAGGUAAAUGGAAGAACCUCAAAAAUGAGAACCAAAAAUUUCUAGCUACUUUAAAAAUUAAUUGAUAGCUAUGUGAGCGAGUCAUUGUGGUAGCCAUUCUCCAAUAUGGCACCCAAUGAAAGUCACUUUCCAUUAUUCACAUUCUGUAUGUAGUCCCACACUGCGGCAGUAUUGGUUUGUAUGACCAAUUGAAUACCACAGAGGUGAUGAUAUGUAACUCCCAAUAUUAAAUCAUAAUUGUCCUGUGACUUUCAUCAUGAUGGACUUCUUUCAGAUCACCUGGGAAGCCAGGUGUCGAUGUUAUGAGGACAUUCAGACAGCCUGUGGAGAGGCCUUUGUGGUGAGUAAUUGAGGCUUGCUUACAAAUACAUGGAGUGGAGUAACCAAAUUUCAGAUUAGUGCAAUUCAGUCAAUAUCUUGACUCCAGCAUUAGAAAAAACCCUGAGCCAGAACCACCCAACUAAGCUGCUACCAGAUUCUUAACACAAAAACUGCAAGAUAAUACAUUUUUGUGGUCAUAAGUUAUACUUAGCAGCUUAAUUUAUAUAUACAUGUACAUAUAUGUAUAUAAUGUUAUGUAUUACACAGCAGCAAAUAACUAAUGCAUCCAUCCUAAGCAUUUACAGUUCAUUUAAACCACCAGAUGACUGUAGCACUGGCUGAUAUGAAAGGCAGGAGAGAUCAUCUGACCAAGAUUAGCAUAUAGAAUUGUUAAAAGUAAUACAAUGAUUAUUAUUUUAAACCAUCAAACUUUGGAAUGUUUGUUUUGCAGCAAUAGAUAAUCAAAAUAUAAAUUGAUACCUAGAAGUAAGGUGCUGGUGAAACAAAAAUCUAAACCAUGUGGCAUUGACUUUGGGUCUAGGCAAUGGGUAUAGGCCAGAAGAGCCUCAAGGAGACAGACAAUGGAGGCUGAAAAGACAGUGAGGAAAUAGUUAUUUGAUCCUGCAGCAAAGGAGAGUUUUUACCCUGUUGUGUAGAGACAGGAUGUUUGACAAUGCUGUAAUUUGUGGCAAUAUGAAAAAUAGAAAAUGUAUCUAAUGAACUUGUGUAUGGUUAAGGAGGUUUCUAGAUGGGAUGUGUGCCAACUUGUUUAUUUUAGGUGUAUAUGAUCUUUAGUAGGGUGAAAUGAACUAAAGAAGAAAGCAUUCAAUUUUCAAGCAGAAUCUAGAGUACAGGUCAGCAAAUAUUUUCUGUAAUGGGCCAAAUAGUAAAUAUUUUAGCCUUUUCAGAUUGCUGAAUGUUGUCUCUAGCAAUUACUCAUCUUUGCAGUUGUAGCAAUAAAGUAGACAUGGAUGAUAUGUAAAUGAAUGGGAUUGGCUAUGCUUCAGUAAAAAAGGUUGAUUGACA
rnacentral:lncRNA from 1 species